UACGGGGGGAGCAAGCGUUAUUCGGAUUUACUGGGCGUAAAGGGCGCGUAGGCGGUCAGCACAAGUCAGUUGUGAAAUCUCCGGGCUUAACUCGGAAAGGUCAACUGAUACUGUGCGACUAGAGUGCAGAAGGGGCAACUGGAAUUCUCGGUGUAGCGGUGAAAUGCGUAGAUAUCGAGAGGAACACCUGCGGCGAAGGCGGGUUGCUGGGCUGACACUGACGCUGAUGCGCGAAAGCCAGGGGAGCGAACGGG
rnacentral:rRNA from 1 species